CUUCAUCCCAAGCUGCUGCUGCUCGCAGUCACCUCUCCAGGUGAAGCAGAACCACUGUUCUUGCUCUGUGUUCGUGUUUUCACAGAGAUAAACCAGGAUUAGCAGUGCUGAAGAGGGAUAUAAUUGAUGUGAACUUAAAGGAUUUUGCCUCAGACUGUGCAUGAGAUGGAAUUGCUCUGGGGAUGAAUAAGAGGUGUGCAACAAUAGAAGCAUUUGUCUGC